rnacentral:rRNA from 1 species
AGUACCGUGAGGGAAAGGUGAAAAGAACCCCGGGAGGGGAGUGAAAUAGAACCUGAAACCCUGCACUUACAAGCUGUGGGAGCACAUUACUUGUGUGACCGCGUACUUUUUGUAGAACGGGCCAACGAGUUACGUUAAGUAGCAAGGUUAAGCACUUAAGGUGUGGAGCCGUAGCGAAAGCGAGUCUUAAAUGGGCGAUUAAGUUACUUGGCGUAGACCCGAAACCGGGCGACCUAUCCAUGAGCAGGUUGAAGCGAAAGUAAAAUUUCGUGGAGGACCGAACCCACGAGCGUUGAAAAGCUCGGGGAUGACUUGUGGAUAGCGGUGAAAUUCCAAUCGAGCCCGGAGAUAGCUGGUUCUCCCCGAAAUAGCUUUAGGGCUAGCCUCAAGCGUAGAGAAACGGAGGUAGAGCACUGAAUGUCCUAGGGGGUAUUGCACUUACCGAAGACUAUCAAACUCCGAAUGCCGUUUUCUUUUACUUGGGAGUCAGACUGUGGGUGAUAAGAUUCAUAGUCAAAAGGGCAACAGCCCAGAUCGUCAGCUAAGGUCCCUAAAUGUACGUUAAGUGGUAAAGGAUGUGGGAUUGCACAGACAACCAGGAUGUUGGCUUAGAAGCAGCCACUCAUUUAAAGAGUGCGUAAUAGCUCACUGGUCGAGUGAUCCUGCGCCGAAAAUUUCCGGGGCUAAAACGUACUACCGAAGCUACGGCAUCAUUUAUGAUGGGUAGGGGAGCUUCGUAUGCAGGCUGAAGCAUGACCGUAAGGACAUGUGGACAGUAUACGAGUGAGAAUGUUGGCAUGAGUAGCGAGACGUGGGUGAGAAUCCCACGGGCCGUAAACCCAAGGUUUCCAGGGGAAGGUUCGUCCGCCCUGGGUUAGUCGGGACCUAAGCCGAGGCCGAAAGGCGUAGGUGAUGGACAACAGGUUGAUAUUCCUGUACCGCCAAUAAGCGUUUGAGAGAUGGAGUGACACAGUAGGAUAAGCUAACCGUACUGUUGGUUAUGUACGGCUAAGCAUUGAGGCAGUCUAAAUAGGCAAAUCCGUUUAGACAAUGCUAGGAUGUGAUGGGGAAGCCCUUCGGGGCGAAGUAGCUGAUUUCACACUGUCAAGAAAAGCUUCUAUCGAGUUUAAAGGCGCCCGUACCGUAAACCGACACAGGUGGGUGAGGAGAGUAUCCUAAGGCCAGCGAGAGAACUAUUGUUAAGGAACUCGGCAAAAUGACCCCGUAACUUAGGGAGAAGGGGUGCCUGUCUAUGACAGGCCGCAGAGAAUAGGCCCAAGCGACUGUUUACCAAAAACACAGGUUUCUGCUAAGUCGCAAGACGAUGUAUAGGAGCUGACGCCUGCCCGGUGCUGGAAGGUUAAGGGGAUCUGUUAGAGCAAUCGAAGCAGUGAACUUAAGCCCCAGUAAACGGCGGCCGUAACUAUAACGGUCCUAAGGUAGCGAAAUUCCUUGUCGGGUAAGUUCCGACCCGCACGAAAGGCGUAACGAUUUGGGCACUGUCUCAACAAUAGACUCGGUGAAAUUGUAAUCCCGGUGAAGAUGCCGGGUACCUGCGACAGGACGGAAAGACCCCAUGGAGCUUUACUGUAGCUUGACGUUGGGUCUUGGUACUACAUGUACAGGAUAGGUGGGAGACUAUGAAGCAUGGACGCCAGUCUGUGUGGAGUCAUCCUUGGGAUACCACCCUUGUAGUACUGGGAUCCUAACCAUAGGCCUUGAAUCAGGUCUUGGAACACCGUCAGGUGGGCAGUUUGACUGGGGCGGUCGCCUCCUAAAAAGUAACGGAGGCGCUCAAAGGUUUCCUCAGCACGGUCGGAAAUCGUGCGAAGAGUGUAAAGGCAAAAGGAAGCUUGAUUGCAAGACAUACAGGUCGAGCAAGGACGAAAGUCGGACUUAGUGAUCCGGUGGUACCGCAUGGAAGGGCCAUCGCUCAACGGAUAAAAGCUACCCUGGGGAUAACAGGCUUAUCUCCCCCAAGAGUCCACAUCGACGGGGAGGUUUGGCACCUCGAUGUCGGCUCA